GCCAGUGUAACAUAGUGGUUUGAGUGUUGGACUAUGACUGUGGAAACCAGGGUUCAAUUCUCAGCUCUGCCA